AGUGGGUGGAGUGGUAAGAUA
rnacentral:miRNA from 1 species